rnacentral:tRNA from 1 species
UAAGCUAUAAAAGCUAUUGAGUUCAUACCUCAAAAAAGACGAAAGUCCAAAAAUUUUUGUUUUGUUUAUAAAAGAUUAAAAA